rnacentral:SRP_RNA from 1 species
CUUAUAGUCCAACAAGGAAACUAGGAAUCAGGUCAGGGCGGGAACGCAGCAGCCUUAACUUGUGAAAUUGUGUGGGCUCUACAUAA